rnacentral:rRNA from 1 species
GCAGUCGAACGGCAGCAUGAUCUAGCUUGCUAGAUUGAUGGCGAGUGGCGAACGGGUGAGUAAUACAUCGGAACGUGCCCUGUAGUGGGGGAUAACUAGUCGAAAGAUUAGCUAAUACCGCAUACGACCUGAGGGUGAAAGUGGGGGACCGCAAGGCCUCAUGCUAUAGGAGCGGCCGAUGUCUGAUUAGCUAGUUGGUGAGGUAAAGGCUCACCAAGGCGACGAUCAGUAGCUGGUCUGAGAGGACGAUCAGCCACACUGGGACUGAGACACGGCCCAGACUCCUACGGGAGGCAGCAGUGGGGAAUUUUGGACAAUGGGGGCAACCCUGAUCCAGCAAUGCCGCGUGUGUGAAGAAGGCCUUCGGGUUGUAAAGCACUUUUGUCCGGAAAGAAAUCGCACUUACUAAUAUUAGGUGUGGAUGACGGUACCGGAAGAAUAAGGACCGGCUAACUACGUGCCAGCAGCCGCGGUAAUACGUAGGGUCCAAGCGUUAAUCGGAAUUACUGGGCGUAAAGCGUGCGCAGGCGGUUGUGCAAGACCGAUGUGAAAUCCCCGGGCUUAACCUGGGAAUUGCAUUGGUGACUGCACGGCUAGAGUGUGUCAGAGGGGGGUAGAAUUCCACGUGUAGCAGUGAAAUGCGUAGAGAUGUGGAGGAAUACCGAUGGCGAAGGCAGCCCCCUGGGAUAACACUGACGCUCAUGCACGAAAGCGUGGGGAGCAAACAGGAUUAGAUACCCUGGUAGUCCACGCCCUAAACGAUGUCAACUAGUUGUUGGGGAUUCAUUUCCUUAGUAACGUAGCUAACGCGUGAAGUUGACCGCCUGGGGAGUACGGUCGCAAGAUUAAAACUCAAAGGAAUUGACGGGGACCCGCACAAGCGGUGGAUGAUGUGGAUUAAUUCGAUGCAACGCGAAAAACCUUACCUACCCUUGACAUGCCACUAACGAAGCAGAGAUGCAUUAGGUGCUCGAAAGAGAAAGUGGACACAGGUGCUGCAUGGCUGUCGUCAGCUCGUGUCGUGAGAUGUUGGGUUAAGUCCCGCAACGAGCGCAACCCUUGUCUCUAGUUGCUACGAAAGGGCACUCUAGAGAGACUGCCGGUGACAAACCGGAGGAAGGUGGGGAUGACGCCAAGUCCUCAUGGCCCUUAUGGGUAGGGCUUCACACGUCAUACAAUGGUGCAUACAGAGGGUUGCCAAGCCGCGAGGUGGGGCUAAUCCCAGAAAAUGCAUCGUAGUCCGGAUCGUAGUCUGCAACUCGACUACGUGAAGCUGGAAUCGCUAGUAAUCGCGGAUCAGC